rnacentral:lncRNA from 1 species
GAUACUUCCCUGGCGAUGCUGUAGAUGUCAUCGGCGAAGUUGUUGACGGUGGCACGGAUCUAUUCGGCCGUCGGAUUUGAUUUGACAUUUUCGAAGAAAUAUUGAAGGGUCCGAAGAAACGGGGAAUCAAAGAUUCCCCUCCCCUCUUCUUUCGAAAAGAUCAAAACGGCGAUUGUAGAUGUCGUCGACGGAGUUGUUAACAGUGGCGUGGAUCUGUUCGGCCGGCAAAUUUGGUUCGAUAUUUAUCGAAGAAAUGUUGAAGGGUCCGAAGAAACAGGGAAUCAAAGAUGCCCCUCCCCUCUUCUUUCGAAAGUAUCAAACCAAACAUGCUGGAGACGGUCGCGGCAAUGUAGAUCACCCAUUCCGUCAUCAACGACUUCAGAUGGGGUAUUGAGAGGUCCGAAGAAACGGGGAAUCAAAGAUUCCCCUCCCCUCUUCUUUCGAAAAGAUCAAAACGGCGAUUGUAGAUGUCGUCGACGGAGUUGUUAACAGUGGCGUGGAUCUGUUCGGCCGGCAAAUUUGGUUCGAUAUUUAUCGAAGAAAUGUUGAAGGGUCCGAAGAAACAGGGAAUCAAAGAUCCCCCUCCCCUCUUCUUUCGAAAGUAUCAAACCAAACAUGCUGGAGAUGGUCGCGGCAAUGUAGAUCACCCAUUCCGUCAUCAACGACUUCAGAUGGGGUAUUGAGAGGUCCGAAGAAACGGGGAAUCAAAGAUUCCCCUCCACUCUCCCACCGAAGCCAUCUAGAUGGUAUGGAUGGCUACGAUCGCAGGACAAAAGAAAAAAAGAAAAGGGGGGGAAGAAAAGAGAUUUUUUUUUGUUUAUAUUAUUUUUACUUUCUUUCUUUUUUCUUUCUUUUUUA